GGGAGCGGAUGGCGGGCUGGUGUCCCUCUUGGUCUUCAAAAUCAAUGUCUCCCGUCACAGACGGGGGAGGUGGGUUCGAUUCCCACACGCUCCC
rnacentral:tRNA from 1 species